GUUGGGUAGGGGAGCGUUCUGUAAGCCUGCGAAGGUGGCCUGUGAGGGUUGCUGGAGGUAUCAGAAGUGCGAAUGCUGACAUAAGUAACGAUAAAGCGGGUGAAAAGCCCGCUCGCCGGAAGACCAAGGGUUCCUGUCCAACGUUAAUCGGGGCAGGGUGAGUCGACCCCUAAGGCGAGGCCGAAAGGCGUAGUCGAUGGGAAACGGGUUAAUAUUCCCGUACUUGGUGUUACUGCGAAGGGGGGACGGAGAAGGCUAUGUUGGCCGGGCGACGGUUGUCCCGGUUUAAGCGUGUAGGCUGGUUUUCCAGGCAAAUCCGGAAAAUCAAGGCUGAGGCGUGACGACGAGGCACUACGGUGCUGAAGCAACAAAUGCCCUGCUUCCAGGAAAAGCCUCUAAGCAUCAGGUAACACCAAAUCGUACCCCAAACCGACACAGGUGGUCAGGUAGAGAAUACCAAGGCGCUUGAGAGAACUCGGGUGAAGGAACUAGGCAAAAUGGUGCCGUAACUUCGGGAGAAGGCACGCUGACAUGUAGGUGAAGUGAUUUACUCAUGGAGCUGAAGUCAGUCGAAGAUACCAGCUGGCUGCAACUGUUUAUUAAAAACACAGCACUGUGCAAACACGAAAGUGGACGUAUACGGUGUGACGCCUGCCCGGUGCCGGAAGGUUAAUUGAUGGGGUCAGCGCAAGCGAAGCUCCUGAUCGAAGCCCCGGUAAACGGCGGCCGUAACUAUAACGGUCCUAAGGUAGCGAAAUUCCUUGUCGGGUAAGUUCCGACCUGCACGAAUGGCGUAAUGAUGGCCAGGCUGUCUCCACCCGAGACUCAGUGAAAUUGAACUCGCUGUGAAGAUGCAGUGUACCCGCGGCAAGACGGAAAGACCCCGUGAACCUUUACUAUAGCUUGACACUGAACAUUGAGCCUUGAUGUGUAGGAUAGGUGGGAGGCUUUGAAGUGUGGACGCCAGUCUGCAUGGAGCCAACCUUGAAAUACCACCCUUUAAUGUUUGAUGUUCUAACGUGGACCCGUAAUCCGGGUUGCGGACAGUGUCUGGUGGGUAGUUUGACUGGGGCGGUCUCCUCCUAAAGAGUAACGGAGGAGCACGAAGGUUGGCUAAUCCUGGUCGGACAUCAGGAGGUUAGUGCAAUGGCAUAAGCCAGCUUGACUGCGAGCGUGACGGCGCGAGCAGGUGCGAAAGCAGGUCAUAGUGAUCCGGUGGUUCUGAAUGGAAGGGCCAUCGCUCAACGGAUAAAAGGUACUCCGGGGAUAACAGGCUGAUACCGCCCAAGAGUUCAUAUCGACGGCGGUGUUUGGCACCUCGAUGUCGGCUCAUCACAUCCUGGGGCUGAAGUAGGUCCCAAGGGUAUGGCUGUUCGCCAUUUAAAGUGGUACGCGAGCUGGGUUUAGAACGUCGUGAGACAGUUCGGUCCCUAUCUGCCGUGGGCGCUGGAGAACUGAGGGGGGCUGCUCCUAGUACGAGAGGACCGGAGUGGACGCAUCACUGGUGUUCGGGUUGUCAUGCCAAUGGCACUGCCCGGUAGCUAAAUGCGGAAGAGAUAAGUGCUGAAAGCAUCUAAGCACGAAACUUGCCCCGAGAUGAGUUCUCCCUGAGACUUAGAGUCUCCUGAAGGAACGUUGAAGACGACGACGUUGAUAGGCCGGGUGUGUAAGCGCAGCGAUGCGUUGAGCUAACCGGUACUAAUGAACCGUGAGGCUUAACCUUACAACGCCGAAGGUGUUU
rnacentral:rRNA from 1 species